UACGUAGGGUGCAAGCGUUAAUCGGAAUUACUGGGCGUAAAGCGUGCGCAGGCGGUUGUGCAAGACAGGCGUGAAAUCCCCGGGCUUAACCUGGGAACUGCACUUGUGACUGCACAGCUGGAGUACGGCAGAGGGGGAUGGAAUUCCGCGUGUAGCAGUGAAAUGCGUAGAGAUCGGCAGGAACACCCAGGGGGAAACCAGCCGACUGGGCAAGUGCUGACGCUGAGGUGCGAGAGCGUGGGGAGCGAACCGG
rnacentral:rRNA from 1 species